UACGUAGGGUGCAAGCGUUAAUCGGAAUUACUGGGCGUAAAGCGUGCGCAGGCGGUUGUGUAAGUCUGACGUGAAAUCCCCGGGCUUAACCUGGGAAUGGCGUUGGAGACUGCACAGCUAGAGUGUGUCAGAGGGGGGUAGAAUUCCACGUGUAGCAGUGAAAUGCGUAGAUAUGUGGAGGAAUACCGAUGGCGAAGGCAGCCCCCUGGGAUAACACUAACGCUCAUGCACGAAAGCGUGGGGAGCAAACAGG
rnacentral:rRNA from 1 species